rnacentral:rRNA from 1 species
AUACGUAGGGGGCGAGCGUUGUCCGGAAUGAUUGGGCGUAAAGGGCGCGUAGGCGGCGCGGUAAGUCUGGAGUGAAAGUCCUGCUUUCAAGAUGGGAAUUGCUUUGGAUACUGAUGGGCUUGAGUGCAGGAGAGGUUAUCGGAAUUCCCGGUGUAGCGGUGAAAUGCGUAGAGAUCGGGAGGAACACCAGUGGCGAAGGCGGGUAACUGGGCUGCAACUGACGCUGAGGCGCGAAAGUGUGGGGAGCAAACAGGAUUAGAUACCCUGGUAGUCCACACUGUAAACGAUGAAUGCUAGGUGUAAGAGGUAUCGACCCCUUUUGUGCCGGAGUUAACACAAUAAGCAUUCCGCCUGGGGAGUACGGCCGCAAGGUUGAAACUCAAAGGAAUUGACGGGG